CCAUAUAUUUAGAAUGACGAAGUGGUGUUAGCUUAGUGGUUAGAGCACCCACUACCUAUGUACGAAGUCAUGUGUUCGAGUCACCAUUGAGAUAGGAGUGAAACCCUUUGAUCCUCUUAAAAAAAGAAAAAAGAAAAAAACCAUAUAUUUAGAAUUUCAAAAUCAGUGGCAUUAAAUAUUUUUAAAACAAAUCGCUUUAUUCCCACUUUUAGUUUCUUUUUUUAUUUCUAAAAGUUAUGAUUAGUCAAUUUAUUAUCUAACAUAAAACAUCACAGGUAUAAAACUUUAUAAUUGUUAACUUGAUUGACCAUCCAAUGACUGUUUCGUAGUUCCGCCGUUGUGGAGAAAUUAGUGAUACAGUUUUGGUUGAAUGUUCGACUCUAAAUUUUAUAUUUGAUCAAUAUGGUAUUUGGUGGAUGAGAACUCAAAUAAAACAAAACAUAUUUCUAAGCAUCUAUUUGAAGGGAACAAUAAUGAAUCCUUAUGGAUUUCCCAAGGUUCGAAAAAUCGCUAGGCGCUAGUCGAAGGGUGACCAAGAGACUAGCGCCCAGACGCCUAUGCAGCGCCUAAGAGGUUUUGUAUUUGUAUUUCUUAAUUUUUAUUUUUAUUUUAUAGCUUUUAUUUACGAAAGUUUUUAGUUUUUUUUACCCAUUUUUCUUUUGACAAAAGUUUGAACCGAUGAUACAAAAUGCUAAUUUGGGCUGAAAACAAAAAUCGACUCGGUAACAGCUCAUAGAAUGAGCCCAAGUAGUAUAUCUUAUCAGUCACGAGCCAAAUGGUCAUGAGGUCCAAAUAAUUUCAUCUCAUUAGUCAAGAAGAGGGCACUUCGUAGUCUCCAACUCUAACUCUCUCUCUCUCUCUCUCUCUCUGAAGCAAAGGCCAUGGAUCGCGCCCAUAUCAUUCUUCUAGGGUUACCACUCUUCCUCUUUUGCUUCGAUGUCCUCAACCUCUUCACUCUCCGGCCACCACCGCCACCUCGUCAAAAGGCUCCCCACCACCGCGAUCACCAUGACCACCUCCAAAAGAAACCACCUCCAUUCCCCAAAGACACCCUAGAUUUCCCCUCACAAAAACCAAGCUCUCCGGCGUCGGCAACAUAGACCACCUAGCCGCCCAUGCCGCCUAGAUCACCCAGACUGCCCAGACAGACGCCCAGGCUGCCUAGACGGCCGCCUAAGGCCUCCGUUUAGCCAUUAAUCUGUUGCUGCCUAGCGCCUAGGUGACUUGGGUGGCCCUCUUUUAGAACAUUGGGAUUUCCCAAUAACUAACACAAGCAAUUAAUAUGGUCAAUUAUAAAACACUAAUAUGUUAAUAUAUACUAAUCAAAUUAAAUAGUAGCCUUAAUGUAGUUAAAUAAUAGUGUAUUUCAUGGUUUUUUUGUUUAAGGAUAUUUUAGGUCAUAUGGGUUGUGUAUUUGGUGAAAUAUUAGGAUGAGAAAUUAAAUGAUAGGUGUAUUGAGUAAGAAGUGUGUAUUAAGUAAUUAGGGAUGUGUAUUUAAACUUAUCAAAUAUCGAUCAUGUGGCCAAGGCAUGCCUUGUUGGUCAGCUGACUUGGCUAAUAUUGUAAAAGUUAUGGAUUCAAAUCUUAUUGAUAUCAGAAAUGGGUGCAUAGGUUGGGGAUAAAAAAAAUUUUGAUCAUGCUAAAUCAUUUAGUUAUUUUGGAAGAAAAUGUAGAAACUAUUUUAGGGAAUCGAUAUUUGAGAGAAAAUUGUUGUGUAUUCUCAUUGAUAAUAGGGGCCUCUUUAUAUAGAGGAUUACAAGACGUAGAAUCUGAAUUGUACAAGGAAAUGUAAUCAUACAAUCAAUGAAUAUCUUUAAGAUAUUCUUCGAGAUUAUCUCUAA